GACCCGCCGCUGCCACCGCCUGGUUUGACAGGCAAAUGAAGAUCUGGAGCUGAGGACGCACCUGUAUGGAAAUCCUGAGCAGAGGCAGGAAACACGCAAAUGAGGACGCGCUUCAGAGGAAAAACAAGCAGCCGUGGGACACAUCCACAUGUAGGAUGGACAGGGAGUCAAACCCACAACCUACCAGAAGAAUGACUCACUCUUCCACUAAGGGUCAUUCACGUCAAGUGUGACUGUGGAGGUGGGCGUGGCUAGCAGCUCGUCAGCUGCAUGAGGGAGUGCAGGUGUGAAGAGAGGUGAGUUUAACCGACACAGCUGCGGCUACUUUGCAAUCAAGCUCCUCCUUUAUAUGUGACUGCUCCGUUGACCUGAGGAACAGAGGCAUCAAAAAAUAUCCCAAAAAGAAGGCGUUUUGUCGCAGAAUUUCAAAUUCAAACACAGAAACGGUUAAGUGAUGAAGUGUCAGUGAAUACAGGAGAACUAAUUGCAAUUUUAUUAGCAGUACAAUGGGUUGAGGAAAUGCGGCGACUAAGAACAAUCCGCAGACAACACAGCCUCAUAGAAACACAGCAAACCUGUAUAACAUUCAGAUGAUGGGACUCACAGUUACCAGCACACACUGGGGUUACAGGGAAUGAAAUGGCUGACAAGGUGGCAACAGGACACACUAGCAUAGAUUUAGCAAUUCAAAUGAAGCAAAAUGGAAAUGAAGAGCAUCAUUAAAGUAAAGAGAGGUGGCAACAACAAUGGGAGGAGGAGAGAAAAGGAAGAUGGUUUUUCAAAAUCCAAAGGAAAGCGGGAGAGGUUUGGUACUAGGAGAGGAAAGUGUCAUAUCAAGGAUUAGAUUUGGUCAUACAGGAUUAAACACAACUUUCCUUACUCCAACACACCAGAUUCUGCAGUGUCGUGCCGGCCAGAACACUUUAAGUUUGUAUUGUGACGUGUGAAGUCGUUGAUUAGAGUUUAUUUGAAGUUGUGAACUAUAAGCCAAAUCUACACGCUUGUUUUUGUCACAUCUCCUCCAUAAGAGAGAUUUCUAUCACAAGAAUCUUCCUUUUUUUCCAUUUGUGUUUAGUCGAUGGGUCAUUUUAU